rnacentral:lncRNA from 1 species
GUCCUGAGUAGGAAGUGUCCAGAGUCUGUCCAGUAAGGUGUGGCAGCAGUGGAAUAUGUACCAGAUGCCCUCCUUUCAGUCGGAGCUCUGACUGUUAUACAGGAUCAUGCUCCUAUCAAAUGAGCUUCAUGAUGCCUGAGGCCCAGGUGGUCUCCCAGAAGCUUGGAGACAAAGCUCAUGCUUCGAUUUGUAUCAGUAACUCACCUGUCUCUUGUCACUUGUAGACUCACCCUAUGGGUGCCAUUGUAUCACCAUUGCUACAAGAAGACAGAAGCCAAAUAGCCAUAUGGAGGAGCUUGCCCUGUGUCAUUGCUUUCUUCUUAGCUACAAAGGAGGGAGGUUAGAGUUCUGAUGUGUGCCACCUUCAGAAAGGACAGCUGAGAGAAAUAACAGAAAGCACGUGUCAGUGUGAUCCCACUUUGGAGUUGUUGUGUUGCAUCUGUAGGAUUAAGAGUUUUAAGGAGUUGUCAAGUUUAAUUGGCAGCUAUUUUUCCUUGUAAAUGAGGCACUUUACCACGAGCUCACUUUCUCACUGAGAAGUGGAGGAGGGUUUGAUGCAGAUGUCGUUCAGGCAAGAAUCAUUUGAACAUGAAAAGAAGUGGAAUAGAAGACCUUGCAUGCUCUCUCCUGCUCUCAUAGUUUCCUCUAGGUUCACUUCCUAUCUCUCAUCAACUCGAGCUGCUGAAGUCAUGAUCUGUGAGCUCAAAAUGAAAGAUAUUAUUCUCACAGCCUUUGAGGAAACACCCAGGAAGGAGGAAUGCACAGUGUUGUCAGGACCCAUGUUAGGACUCAUCCACAGCUGGCACAGUCUGACUCAUCCCAGGCAAACACCCAGAGUGAAGUUGUAUGAAAGAGACAGCAGUGAUCAAAGGGAAAAUGUGUGUUCAUCCUUUAUUCUGUAA